GACAGUUCAAUUUUUUUAAAGAUAAGUUGAGAUUUUAUGAUGAUGUUUGUUUCGAGUCAAAACCUUUUAAAGUUUGAAAGUAAAGGCUUUUGAGUUUGGAGAAAAUGUGUGAGUUUCAAAAGUAUUUUGAGUUUCAAGAGAAAACGAGUAACUUUUGUUUCUUUCGAAGAGCUUGGAUUGUGGAAGUGAACGAGAAACGCGAAGGUGCUGCGACAUAGGAUGCGAGGUGUUAUGUGUUUAUGCAUGUUUAAUUACGUGAGAGAUAUGAAUGACGUUUUAUGUAAUGGUUUGUAGAUGUUGAGGUAUGAGGUAGAUUAUGAAAUUGUUGAUGGAAGUGAAGUAUGAGACAAUGAGCUUUGCGUGCGAACAUAGAGUAACUAAGAGAUAGGCUAGGAUGAACAUGCUCGAAUUUAGUUAAGAAGUUUCAGCUGCAACCCCACUUUCCUGAGUGAUAAGAUUAACUAAAAUCUGUAGUUGAGCUCGAGUUAAGAUGGGUAGUUACAAUUUCCUAUCAUUUUCCCUGAACCUUAAAAACAAGGAGAAUACAAAACGAUGUUGCGUGUGAUAAGGAGUUCAAGAAGAAAAGAAGUUCAAAA